rnacentral:tRNA from 7 species
GGGAUCGUAGCUCAGUUGGGAGAGCGCCUGCUUCGCAUGUAGGAGGUCGAGGGUUCGAGUCCCUUCGGUUCCA